GGGGAAUAUUGGACAAUGGGGGAAACCCUGAUCCAGCGACGCCGCGUGGGUGAAGAAGGCCUGCGGGUUGUAAAGCCCUUUCGGUUGGGAAGAAAAGUUGCGACCUAACACGUCGCGACCUUGACGUAACCAACUAAAGAAGCACCGGCUAACUCUGUGCCAGCAGCCGCGGUAAUACAGAGGGUGCGAGCGUUAAUCGGAAUUACUGGGCGUAAAGCGCGCGUAGGCGGCUUGGCAAGUCGGGUGUGAAAUCCCCGGGCUCAACCUGGGAACUGCAUUCGAGACUGCUUUGCUAGAGUAUGGGAGAGGGAAGUGGAAUUUCCGGUGUAGCGGUGAAAUGCGUAGAUAUCGGAAGGAACAUCAGUGGCGAAAGCGACUUCCUGGACCAAUACUGACGCUCAUGUGCGAAAGCGUGGGGAGCAAACA
rnacentral:rRNA from 1 species